AUGAGCAGCCGCCGCCGCAGCCGCCACGUCGGCUUGCCGCCGGCCGCGCCGCUGGACGACGACGACCUCCUCUCCGAGAUCCUGCUCCGCCUCCCCCCGCAGCCCUCAUCACUCCCGCGCGUAUCCCUCGUCUGCAAGCGGUGGCGCGGCCUCGUCUCCGACCCCGGCUUCUUCCGCCGCUUCCGCCUCCGCCACCGCCGCAACCCUCCUCUCCUCGGUUUCUUCGACAGAUUUCUAGGUCAGACAUUCCGACCUACCCUGGAGGCCCCCAAUCGUGUUCCUCCCGAGCGCUUCUCCAUGCAGCACCACGAGGAUCUCGUGCACGCCUUUUCCCAUGGAUGCCGCCAUGGUAUCUAUCUAGAGCUACAUUCUGCUGUCUGA
rnacentral:rRNA from 1 species